rnacentral:rRNA from 1 species
UACGUAGGGUGCAAGCGUUGCUCGGAAUUACUGGGCGUAAAGGGAGCGUAGGCGGACAGUUAAGUCAGUGGUGAAAGCCCAGAGCUCAACCCCGGAACUGCCUUUGAAACUGGAGAGCUAGAAUCUUGGAGAGGCGAGUGGAAUUCCGAGUGUAGAGGUGAAAUUCGUAGAUAUUCGGAAGAACACCAGUGGCGAAAGGCGACUCGCUGGACAAGUAUUGACGCUGAGGUGCGAAAGCGUGGGGAGCAAACAGG